CCCCCUCUUUAAUGUCAAUUAAUGUCGUCUGUAAAGCACGUUGAAUUCUGGGCUUUCACUCUUUCUCUCUCUCGUGUUAAACUGAUUUGUCCCUGAUUGCCCAAAGACAAUUUACUGGGUUUAAGGACCCAUGUGUGUGUGUGUCGCUCUUCUUCUUCUGAGAGACGUCACUUGAGUUGUAUCAGGUGUGUGACGGUAUAUCCAACAUUUGUGUGUCAUAGGACACUACUUGGCCCAUUCAGCUCUGGUUGUCGACUCUGUGUAUACGAGUGAUUCUCACUUUGUGCGUAGCCUGUCUCCACAGGAACCACCACCACUUCCAUUAUCACAAGUACACCGUGUUCAUUUUCAUGAGCCAAAGUCAAGUCGAACAAAAUACAAGAGAUUCUGCUCUUA